rnacentral:rRNA from 1 species
GACGAACGCUGGCGGCGUGCUUAACACAUGCAAGUCGAACGGAAAGGCCCUGCUUGUGUGGGGGGCUCGAGUGGCGAACGGGUGUGUAACACGUGUGUAACCUGCCCUUGACUUUGGGAUAACUUCAGGAAACUGGGGCUAAUACCGGAUAGGAGCUCCUGCUGCAUGGUGGGGGGUGGAAAGUUUCGGCGGUUGGGGAUGGACUCGCGGCUUAUCAGCUUGUUGGUGGGGUAGUGGCUUACCAAGGCUUUGACGGGUAGCCGGCCUGAGAGGGUGACCGGCCACAUUGGGACUGAGAUACGGCCCAGACUCCUACGGGAGGCAGCAGUGGGGAAUAUUGCACAAUGGGCGGAAGCCUGAUGCAGCAACGCCGCGUGCGGGAUGACGGCCUUCGGGUUGUAAACCGCUUUCGCCUGUGACGAAGCGUGAGUGACGGUAAUGGGUAAAGAAGCACCGGCUAACUACGUG